ensembl:lncRNA
GAUAAUCUGACCAACACGUGUUGUGGAACCCGGCAUACUGGAAGUGCUCAUUACCUCUAGAUCAACAAUGGUUGUUGUGUAGAAGCUUCUUGUUCUUUAAUGCAACACAAAGGAGGGAUUCCAAAAUGGCCUCGGUAUUGGUCACUGUGAGGCACGACGUAUCUCAGGCGAGGGAAGAGUCCCCUCUGACGCAGGCGGGCGGAUCCUUAUCGCCCGUAGUCACACCCGGUGGCAGAUCGCGCUGAGGCUGACGGUUGCACGUCGAGUGAACUCGGCAGUGCGUCUUCCACUGAAGCCGAGCGUCACUCGGAGGCUUCCCAGCCGACAUGAGCAGAGCAUCACGGCUCACCUGAGAGCUCGUCUGGAGGAGUCAAAAGGAGAAGGAGAUCCUGUGUGAGUGCAGCUCACACAGAUGAGAACACUCAAUGCUCAAGCU